rnacentral:rRNA from 1 species
CUACGGGCCGCAGCAGCAACGAAUAUUCCGCAAUGGGCGAAAGCCUGACGGAGCGACGCCGCGUGAAGGAUGAAGUCCCUCGGGAUGUAAACUUCAAUAGUUUGUCAGGAAGCAAACCGGGUUAAUACCCCGGAGCGUUGACCAGCAUACGAAAGGGGUGGCUAACUCCGUGCCAGCAGCCGCAGUAAGACGGAGACCCCUAGCGUUGUUCGGAAUUACUGGGCUUAAAGAGCGUGUAGGCGGAACGGUAAGUACUUUGUGAAAGCCCCGGGCUCAACCCGGGAAUUGCUUGGUGUACUGCCGUUCUAGAGGCAGGUAGGGGUUACUGGAACCUUAGGUGGAGCGGUGAAAUGCGUAGAUAUCUAAGGGAACGCCUGUGGCGAAAGCGGGUGACUGGACCUGUACUGACGCUGAGACGCGAAAGCGUAGGGAGCGAACGGGAUUAGAUACCCGUGUAGUC